UCCGGUGACCAUGGCGAGGGGGAAACACCCGUUCCCAUUCCGAACACGGAAGUUAAGCCCCUCAGCGGCGAUGGUACUGCCCCGGAAGGGGGUGGGAGAGUAGCACGUUGCCGGGA
rnacentral:rRNA from 1 species